rnacentral:rRNA from 1 species
CCUACGGGAGGCAGCAGUGGGGAAUAUUGCACAAUGGGGGAAACCCUGAUGCAGCGACGCCGCGUGAGUGAAGAAGUAUUUCGGGAUGUAAAGCUCUAGCAGCAGGGAAGAAAAUGACGGUACCUGAAUAAGAAGGCCCGGCGAACGACGUGCCAGCAGCCGCGGGAAUACGUAGGGGGCAAGCGUUAUCCGGAUUGACUGGGUGGAAAGGGAGCGUAGAAGGCAGCACAAGUCUGGAGUGAAAUGCCGGGGCUUAACCCCGGAACUGCUUUGGAAACUUUGCAGCUAUAGGGCAGGAGCGGUCAGUGCCCUUCCUAGUGUAGCUGUGAAAUGCGUAGCUAUUAGGAGUAACACCAGUUGC